ACGGAAGGUAGCAGUGGGGAAUAUUGGACAAUGGGGGAAACCCUGAUCCAGCGACGCCGCGUGAGUGAAGAAGUAUUUCGGUAUGUAAAGCUCUAUCAGCAGGGAAGAUAAUGACGGUACCUGACUAAGAAGCCCCGGCUAACUACGUGCCAGCAGCCGCGGUAAUACGUAGGGGGCAAGCGUUAUCCGGAUUUACUGGGUGUAAAGGGAGCGUAGACGGCUUUGCAAGUCUGAAGUGAAAGCCCGGGGCUCAACCCCGGAACUGCUUUGGAAACUGUAGAGCUAGAGUACAGGAGAGGUAAGCGGAGUUCCUAGUGUAGCGGUGAAAUGCGUAGAUAUUAGGAGGAACACCAGUGGCGAAGGCGGCUUACUGGACUGUAACUGACGUUGAGGCUCGAAAGCGUGGGGAGCAAACAGGAUUAGAUACCCUGGUA
rnacentral:rRNA from 1 species